rnacentral:rRNA from 1 species
UGACGACCGGCGCACGGGUGCGUAACGCGUAUGCAACCUACCUUCUACAGGGGGAUAGUCAAUAGAAAUGUUGAAUAAUACCCCAUACGAUCUUUGAAUAGCAUUAUUUAAAGAAGAAAGUUCCGGCGGUAGAAGAUGGGCAUGCGUCCUAUUAGUUAGUUGGAGAGGUAACGGCUCCCCAAGACAUCGAUAGGUAGGGGUCCUGAGAGGGAGACCCCCCACACUGGUACUGAGACACGGACCAGACUCC